rnacentral:tRNA from 1 species
GUUCUUGUAGUUGAGACACAACAGUGGCUUUUCACGCCACAGGUCCUGGUUAGAGUCCGGGUAAGAACC